CCCCAUGGAACACAGGAUGCGUGGCACUCGUAUUAAUAAGCCAGUCAUGGCACUCUUAUUAAUAAGUUAAGAUUUGUGGCUGGUUACCUGGCAUUGCUUAGGUUAGACUGUGAAUCUCAUGCACCCACCAGACUUUGAGGAAAAUUGAUGGUAGUAGUAAGUUCAGUAUUUUUUUGGUAUUGCUUUAACGUGAUCAGCUGCCUUUAGUCAAUCAGUAUCCUAGAGCCAUAUCAGGAUUUAAACGAUUAUCAGAAGUGCUUUUCAGUAUCGUUUUCAAAGAAAAUGGAUUUUAGACAAUUAUCUAAUGAAUAACAAAAGUGUAGUUUACUUAAGUAAAUGUACCAUUUUCUGUUUUACUAAGAAAAUGGUAUCGUAACUCUUUAAAUUUAGAGGAUCUUACAAGUAUGGGGA
rnacentral:lncRNA from 1 species